AAUGCCGCGUGUGUGAAGAAGGCCUUCGGGUUGUAAAGCACUUUAAGUUGGGAGGAAAGCCUUUUCAUUAAUACUGAGAAGGGGUGACGUUACCAACAGAAUAAGCACCGGCUAACUCCGUGCCAGCAACCGCGGUGACUGAGCGGGCUGGCAAGGCGCAUA
rnacentral:rRNA from 1 species